UACGAAGGGGGCUAGCGUUGCUCGGAAUCACUGGGCGUAAAGCGCAUGUAGGCGGCUUUUUAAGUCAGGGGUGAAAUCCUGGAGCUCAACUCCAGAACUGCCUUUGAUACUGAAGAUCUCGAGUCCGGGAGAGGUGAGUGGAACUGCGAGUGUAGAGGUGAAAUUCGUAGAUAUUCGCAAGAACACCAGUGGCGAAGGCGGCUCACUGGCCCGGUACUGACGCUGAGGCACGAAAGCGUGGGGAGCAAACAGG
rnacentral:rRNA from 1 species